GCACAAGCGGUGGAUGAUGUGGAUUAAUUCGAUGCAACGCGAAAACCUUACCUACCCUUGACAUGUCCGGAAUCCCGAAGAGAUUUGGGAGUGCUCGCAAGAGAACCGGAACACAGGUGCUGCAUGGCUGUCGUCAGCUCGUGUCGUGAGAUGUUGGGUUAAGUCCCGCAACGAGCGCAACCCUUGUCAUUAGUUGCUACAUUCAGUUGGGCACUCUAAUGAGACUACCGGUGACAAACCCGGAGGAAGGUGGGGAUGACGUCAAGUCCUCAUGGCCCUUAUAGGUGGGGCUACACACGUCAUACAAUGGAUGGUACAAAGGGUCGCCAACCCGCGAGGGGGAGCCAAUCCCAUAAAGCCAUUCGUAGUCCGGAUCGCAGUCUGCAACUCGACUGCGUGAAGUCGGAAUCGCUAGUAAUCGUGGAUCAGAAUGUCACGGUGAAUACGUUCCCGGGUCUU
rnacentral:rRNA from 1 species